rnacentral:rRNA from 1 species
GAUGAACGCUGGCGGCGUGCCUAAUACAUGCAAGUCGAGCGAACGGACGCGACGCUUGCUUCUCUGAUGUUAGCGGCGGACGGGUGAGUAACACGUGGAUCCCCUACCUAUCUGACUGGGAUAACUUCGGGACUCCGGCGCUAACACCGGAUAAUAUUUUGAACCGUGUGGUUCGAAAGUGAAAGUCGGUCUUGCUGUAUCUUAUCGAUGGAUACGCGCUGCAUUAGCUAGUUGGUAAGGUCACGGCUUACCAAGGCAACGAUGCAUAGACGACGUGAGAGGGUGAUCGGCCACACUGGAGCGGAGACACGGACCAGACUACUACGAGAGGCAGCAGUAGGGAACCGGCCGCAAUGGGCGAAAGCCUGACGGAGCAACGCCGCGUGAGUGAUGAAGGUCCUCGGAUCGUAAAACUCUGUUAUGAGUGAAGAACAUAUGUGUAAGGAACUGUGCACAUCGUGACGGUACUGAAUCAGAAAGCCACGGCUAACUACGUG